AAAUCAGAGUCUAAACGGUUGGAGAUUAAAUUCAAAUUUCCUUAGUUUGUGGAUGUUAAUGGAAACUCUUUUUCCAGACAACUCCCAUUGUUCAUAUAAACAACAUAAAAUUAUUGUAUUUUUGUAUUACUAAUUAUUGUAUUAUUGUAUCAAUUAAGUUAAUUGAUUUGAGUGUUACAAGGGAAGUAGACCGACCUGCAUAAUGGAAUAAAGUUGUGUUUACGUUGAAAUGUCUGCUCUGUUUUUUGCCAUUUCAGUCGGCCAGGACAGUCUGAAAAUGCAGGCUAGGCACUACAAAACCUUGAGCAACAUGUACAAUAAGCCAAAUGCAAAACCCAAUCAAAGUGAUGUUGCUCAAGUUUUAGACCUUGAGUUUAAGGCCAGACGGGCUUUCAUUGAUGCAGAUGUUACAAGGGAAGAAGACCGACCUGCAAAAAUCUUUGAGGCAUAUCCAUGCUUUAGAGAUGUUCGAAAUGCAAUGGAUGAGCUGCGGCGCAUAGUAGGUGGCACCAACAGCAGAUACAUCGAGGAAGUGAAAGGAAGAUGGGCAGACUUUUGUGCCAAGGUGCAGUUCUAUGGUGUGUGGAAGAAAGCCCUGAAACCCCCCUUUCCAUUGGAUGUCCGUGGAGUGGAGUUCACGCUUGCCCUCUUCAAUGCACUCCCAUCCCUUUUCCCCUCACCAACUUCACCACCAAAGAAGCUUGGAAAUAGCUGUGAGGCACUUCUUCAUGUCCUGAAGGUAAAAACAUUUUUGUGUGUUGAUUCCUUACUGUCCUCUUAUUUUCUCACAUUUGUUGUGCAUGUUCACAUAACAAUACACCCUAAGUUCACAAUCACAGAUACUUUUUGCAAAAAAGUGUUUCUAGUGUCCCUCAAAUGGUGUUCACAGAAAGGAAUACCAAGAAAUGUUUGAUUAAACAAAAAACCUUUGAUUAAUUCAUCCAUUAAUUCAUCCCAGAAACAUAAAAAUGCACCUUGCUUGCUUGUAUCCAUUGUUAAUCCAUCCUAAAUUCUUACACCUUGAUCUGUCAAACAAAUGUUGCCCAUUUUGAAGUAAUUCAUGAUUAUUUCUUCCAGUGUAAUAAUAAAUCAAUAUUUUUCAUCAGUGUUUGUAUAUAAUAAUGA
ensembl:lncRNA